rnacentral:rRNA from 1 species
AGAGUGAACGCUGGCGGCAGGCCUAACACAUGCAAGUCGAACGGCAGCACAGGGGGGCUUGCUCCCUGGGUGGCGAGUGGCGGACGGGUGAGGAAUGCGUCGGAAUCUGCCUUUUCGUGGGGGGAUAACGUAGGGAAACUUACGCUAAUACCGCAUGCGACCCUGCUCCGGGAGGAUCAGGGUGAAAGCGGGGGACCUUCGGGCCUCGCGCGGAAAGAUGAGCCGACGCCGGAUUAGCUAGUUGGCGGGGUAACGGCCCACCAAGGCGACGAUCCGUAGCUGGUCUGAGAGGAUGAUCAGCCACACUGGAACUGAGACACGGUCCAGACUCCUACGGGAGGCAGCAGUGGGGAAUAUUGGACAAUGGGCGCAAGCCUGAUCCAGCCAUGCCGCGUGAGUGAAGAAGGCCUUCGGUGUAAAGCUUCGUUUGUUAGGAAAGAAAAGUCGUUUACGGUUAAAGUAACCGGGUAGUUCGUUACGAACGGUAACCCGAAAAGAAUAAAGACCACCGGACUAACUUCG